AUUGAACGCUGGCGGCAGGCCUAACACAUGCAAGUCGAACGAGUGGCGGACGGGUGAGUAAUGUCUGGGAAACUGCCUGAUGGGGGGGAUAACUCUUGGAAACGGAAGUUAAUCCCCACUACCCUCGGUUUUGCCCAGAUGGGAUUGGCUAGGAGGUGGGGUAACGGCUCACCUAGGCGACGAACCCUAGCUGGUCUGAGAGGAUGACCAGCCACACUGGAACUGAGACACGGUCCAGACUCCUACGGGAGGCAGCAGUGGGGAAUAUUGCACAAUGGGCGCAAGCCUGAUGCAGCCAUGCCGCGUGUAUGAAGAAGGCCUUCGGGUUGUAAAGUACUUUCAGCGGGGAGGCGUUACCCGCAGAAGAAGCACCGGCUAACUCCGUGCCAGCAGCCGCGGUAAUUC
rnacentral:rRNA from 1 species